rnacentral:rRNA from 1 species
GAUGAACGCUGGCGGCGUGCCUAACACAUGCAAGUCGAACGCUCGCAAGAGAGUGGCGCACGGGUGAGUAACACGUAGCUAAUCUGCCCUCAAGACAAGGAUAACUGUAGGAAACUACUGCUAAUACUUGAUAAGCUUACGGACUGUAGAGGUCUAUAAGAAAAGAUUUAUCGCUUGAGGAUGAGGCUGCGCGCCAUCAGCUAGUUGGUAAGGUAAUGGCUUACCAAGGCGACGACGGCUAGGGGACCUGAGAGGGUGACCCCCCACACUGGGACUGAGACACGGCCCAGACUCCUACGGGAGGCAGCAGUGAGGAAUAUUGCUCAAUGGGCGCAAGCCUGAAGCAGCGACGCCGCGUGGAUGAAGAAGGUUUUCGGGUUGUAAAGCUCUUUUGUCAGGGAAGAAACGGUGAGUUCUAAUACAGCUUGCUAAUGACGGUACCUAGAAGAAUAAGCACCGGCUAACUACGUGCCAGCAGCCGCGGUAAU